rnacentral:pre_miRNA from 1 species
CAACUACUCCCUCUGUCCCAAAUUUCUUGUCUUAGAUUUGUCUAGAUACGGAUGUAUCUAAUACUAAAAUGUGACUUGAUACAUCCGUAUCUAGACAAAUCUAAGACAAGAAUUUUGGGACGGGGGGAGUACUUU